rnacentral:rRNA from 1 species
CGACACACUAUCGUUAACUGAAUACAUAGGUUAACGAGGCGAACCGGGGGAACUGAAACAUCUAAGUACCCCGAGGAAAAGAAAUCAACCGAGAUUCCCCCAGUAGCGGCGAGCGAACGGGGAGCAGCCCGGAGUCUGAAUCAGCUUGUGUGUUAGUGGAACGGUCUGGAAAGUCCGACGGUACAGGGUGAUAGUCCCGUACACGAAAACACACUUGCUGUGAACUCGAAGAGUAGGGCGGGACACGUGGUAUCCUGUCUGAAUAUGGGGGGACCAUCCUCCAAGGCUAAAUACUCCUGACUGACCGAUAGUGAACCAGUACCGUGAGGGAAAGGCGAAAAGAACCCCGGCGAGGGGAGUGAAAAAGAACCUGAAACCGUGUACGUACAAGCAGUGGGAGCACCUUCAUGGGGUGACUGCGUACCUUUUGUAUAAUGGGUCAGCGACUUAUAUUCUGUAGCAAGGUUAACCGUAUAGGGGAGCCGAAGGGAAACCGAGUCUUAACUGGGCGUUAAGUUGCAGGGUAUAGACCCGAAACCCGGUGAUCUAGCCAUGGGCAGGUUGAAGGUUGGGUAACACUAACUGGAGGACCGAACCGACUAAUGUUGAAAAAUUAGCGGAUGACCUGUGGCUGGGGGUGAAAGGCCAAUCAAACCGGGAGAUAGCUGGUUCUCCCCGAAAGCUAUUUAGGUAGCGCCUCGUGAACUCAUCUUCGGGGGUAGAGCACUGUUUCGGCUAGGGGGCCAUCCCGGCUUACCAACCCGAUGCAAACUACGAAUACCGAAGAAUGUUAUCACGGGAGACACACGGCGGGUGCUAACGUCCGUCGUGAAGAGGGAAACAACCCAGACCGCCAGCUAAGGUCCCAAAGUCAUGGUUAAGUGGGAAACGAUGUGGGAAGGCACAGACAGCCAGGAUGUUGGCUUAGAAGCAGCCAUCAUUUAAAGAAAGCGUAAUAGCUCACUGGUCGAGUCGGCCUGCGCGGAAGAUGUAACGGGGCUAAACCAUGCACCGAAGCUGCGGCAGCGACACUAUGUGUUGUUGGGUAGGGGAGCGUUCUGUAAGCCGUUGAAGGUGUGCUGUGAGGCAUGCUGGAGGUAUCAGAAGUGCGAAUGCUGACAUAAGUAACGAUAAAGCGGGUGAAAAGCCCGCUCGCCGGAAGACCAAGGGUUCCUGUCCAACGUUAAUCGGGGCAGGGUGAGUCGACCCCUAAGGCGAGGCCGAAAGGCGUAGUCGAUGGGAAACAGGUUAAUAUUCCUGUACUUGGUGUUACUGCGAAGGGGGGACGGAGAAGGCUAUGUCAGCCGGGCGACGGUUGUCCCGGUUUAAGCAUGUAGGCGGAGGUUCCAGGUAAAUCCGGUACCUUUUAACGCUGAGGUGUGAUGACGAGGCACUACGGUGCUGAAGUGAUAAAUGCCCUGCUUCCAGGAAAAGCCUCUAAGCAUCAGGUAACACGAAAUCGUACCCCAAACCGACACAGGUGGUCAGGUAGAGAAUACCAAGGCGCUUGAGAGAACUCGGGUGAAGGAACUAGGCAAAAUGGUGCCGUAACUUCGGGAGAAGGCACGCUGAUAGGUNNNNNNNNNNNNNNNNNNNNNNNNNNNNNNNNNNNNNNNNNNNNNNNNNNNNNNNNNNNNNNNNNNNNNNNNNNNNNNNNNNNNNNNNNNNNNNNNNNNNNNNNNNNNNNNNNNNNNNNNNNNNNNNNNNNNNNNNNNNNNNNGGCGGAGCUGAAAUCAGUCGAAGAUACCAGCUGGCUGCAACUGUUUAUUAAAAACACAGCACUGUGCAAACACGAAAGUGGACGUAUACGGUGUGACGCCUGCCCGGUGCCGGAAGGUUAAUUGAUGGGGUUAGCGGCAACGCGAAGCUCUUGAUCGAAGCCCCGGUAAACGGCGGCCGUAACUAUAACGGUCCUAAGGUAGCGAAAUUCCUUGUCGGGUAAGUUCCGACCUGCACGAAUGGCGUAAUGAUGGCCAGGCUGUCUCCACCCGAGACUCAGUGAAAUUGAACUCGCUGUGAAGAUGCAGUGUACCCGCGGCAAGACGGAAAGACCCCGUGAACCUUUACUAUAGCUUGACACUGAACACUGGUCCUUGAUGUGUAGGAUAGGUGGGAGGCUUUGAAGCGUGGACGCCAGUCUGCGUGGAGCCAUCCUUGAAAUACCACCCUUUAAUGGCUGGUGUUCUAACGUAGACCCGUGAUCCGGGUUGCGGACAGUGUCUGGUGGGUAGUUUGACUGGGGCGGUCUCCUCCCAAAGAGUAACGGAGGAGCACGAAGGUUGGCUAAUCCUGGUCGGACAUCAGGAGGUUAGUGCAAUGGCAUAAGCCAGCUUGACUGCGAGCGUGACGGCGCGAGCAGGUGCGAAAGCAGGUCAUAGUGAUCCGGUGGUUCUGAAUGGAAGGGCCAUCGCUCAACGGAUAAAAGGUACUCCGGGGAUAACAGGCUGAUACCGCCCAAGAGUUCAUAUCGACGGCGGUGUUUGGCACCUCGAUGUCGGCUCAUCACAUCCUGGGGCUGAAGUAGGUCCCAAGGGUAUGGCUGUUCGCCAUUUAAAGUGGUACGCGAGCUGGGUUUAGAACGUCGUGAGACAGUUCGGUCCCUAUCUGCCGUGGGCGCUGGAGAAUUGAGGGGGGCUGCUCCUAGUACGAGAGGACCGGAGUGGACGCAUCACUGGUGUUCGGGUUGUCAUGCCAAUGGCACUGCCCGGUAGCUAAAUGCGGAAGAGAUAAGUGCUGAAAGCAUCUAAGCACGAAACUUGCCCCGAGAUGAGUUCUCCCUGAGACUUUAAGUCUCCUGAAGGAACGUUGAAGACGACGACGUUGAUAGGUCGGGUGUGUAAGCGCAGCGAUGCGUUGAGCUAACCGAUACUAAUGAACCGUGAGGCUUAACCUUACAACGCCGAAGGUGUUU